rnacentral:rRNA from 1 species
AUUGAACGCUGGCGGAAUGCUUUACACAUGCAAGUCGAACGGCAGCACGGGGGCAACCCUGGUGGCGAGUGGCGAACGGGUGAGUAACACAUCGGAACGUGCCCAGUCGUGGGGGAUAACGUAGCGAAAGCUACGCUAAUACCGCAUACGAACUCUGGUUGAAAGCGGGGGAUCGCAAGACCUCGCGCUAUAGGAGCGGCCGAUGUCAGAUUAGCUUGUUGGCGGGGUAAAAGCCCACCAAGGCGACGAUCUGUAGCUGGUCUGAGAGGACGACCAGCCACACUGGGACUGAGACACGGCCCAGACUCCUACGGGAGGCAGCAGUGGGGAAUUUUGGACAAUGGGCGCAAGCCUGAUCCAGCCAUGCCGCGUGCGGGAAGAA